AACGAACGCUGGCGGCAUGCCUAACACAUGCAAGUCGAACGAGACCUUCGGGUCUAGUGGCGCACGGGUGCGUAACGCGUGGGAAUCUGCCCCUCGGUUCGGAAUAACACAGAGAAAUUUGUGCUAAUACCGGAUAAUGACUUCGGUCCAAAGAUUUAUCGCCGAGGGAUGAGCCCGCGUAAGAUUAGCUUGUUGGUGGGGUAAUGGCCUACCAAGGCGACGAUCUUUAGCUGGUCUGAGAGGAUGAUCAGCCACACUGGGACUGAGACACGGCCCAGACUCCUACGGGAGGCAGCAGUGGGGAAUAUUGGACAAUGGGCGAAAGCCUGAUCCAGCAAUGCCGCGUGAGUGAUGAAGGCCUUAGGGUUGUAAAGCUCUUUUACCAGGGAUGAUAAUGACAGUACCUGGAGAAUAAGCUCCGGCUAACUCCGUGCCAGCAGCCGCGGUAAUGUACAGUGU
rnacentral:rRNA from 1 species